UCCCUCUCAGGGUCUCACCUGGAGAGUCUCCAUUUCUCUACCAGUCUCGACUAUGGGAGGGAGAGUCAAGCACAGGCAUAUCCAUUUCAUUCCUAGCUUGGGCAGUGGCUAGUGAGUGGAAGGCAAUCUGUUACAAGU